rnacentral:lncRNA from 1 species
GGAAUUUAGGGCAAUGGCCUCUUCUUGCUGCUGCUUUGGCAAUUUGCUUUGUAGCCAACAUUGUUUUUGCUGAUUACACUUAUGGGUAUAUUUCUACCUCAUCUUCUUACAUUUCUUACGUUUUACAAAUCACCAUCUUCACCCAAGUAUCAUGUACCUACUCCUUUCUACAAGUCACCUGCUUCAGCAAUACACUACUACAAGUCACUAGUUCCCGUAAAAUAUUACAAGCGCCAGUUCCCGUAAAAUACUAAAAGUCACCAGCUUCAGUAAAAUACUACAAGGUGCCAGCUCCUGCAAAAUAAUACAAGUCACCAGCUCCUACUAAAUACUACAAGUCGCCAGUUCCCACAAAAUACUACAUAUCGCCAGCUCCCGCUAAAUACUACAAAUCACUAGCUCCUUCAAAGGACUACUACAAGUUGCCAGCUCCCGCUAAAUACUACAAGUUGCCAACUACUCCAAAAUACUACAAGUCGCCAGCUCCUUCAAAGAGCUACUCACCGUACUAUAAAGCAUCUACACCUUCCUAUAAAUCUCCUCCACCCUCACCAAAAUACUACGAGCAAUCACCAUCUUCUUACAAAUCUCCACCUCCACCGUACUAUAAAGAAUCUACACCUUCCUAUAAAUCUCCUCCACCUCCACCAAAAUACUACGAGCAAUCGCCUAAUACUUACAAUUUGCCUAUGAAUAAUCACCCAAAUUAAAUCUCCUCCACCCUCACCAAAAUACUACGAGCAAUCACCAUCUUCUUACAAAUCUCCACCUCCACCGUACUAUAAAGAAUCUACACCUUCCUAUAAAUCUCCUCCACCGCCACCAAAAUACUACGAGCAAUCACCUAUUACUUACGACUUGCCAUCUUUGCCAAAGAUCUAUGAAAAAUCACCAUCUUAUUACUCACCUCCACCACCAGCGAACUAUUUCAAGCAAACUCCCACCUAUGCCUCACCUCCACCACCUGAAAGGUACGAGCAAUCUGCUACCUAUGCUUCACCUCCACCCCCAUCAGCAUCUCCUCCACCAACGUAUUACUGAUAUUAACUAUUCAAUCACUUUCCGCUGUUUCCAUGACUUCUAAUUCCUUUUUGUCCUCUUAUCAUUAGCAGCUCCAUUUCGUCCGCCAAAAUUUGAUGUAUGCUACUAUUUCCAUGACUUCUAAUUCCAUUUUGUCCUCUUAUCAUUAGCAGCUCCGUUUCCUCCGCCAAAAUUUGAUGUAUGCUUCUCGAAAUGAUUGGCUUUUGCUUAUUUGUCUUCAGUGUUCUAUUUUAAUAGUUUGUAUUAUGUAUUUAUUUGGGAUUUAUGAAAGAUCCUCAAGAUCUCCAUCAAUUCUUCUCACUAUAUCGAGAUUUUGUGCAUUCUACUUUUCUUAAUUUGUUUUAACAGUUUCUAAAAAUGUAAGAAAAUAAUUGAAAGGCUAAAAUGGCACACUUCUAAAAUUUGAAUAUUUGACAUAGUGUAUUAAAAGACGGGGACACAAGCCGAGAUAUAAAUUUUGAGACAUGGCGUGUAAGCCCUUGAUUCUUUUUAAUUUUGACAAUUUUUUAGUUUCAAUAACUUUGUAUAAUACCAUGAUAUAUAAUCAACUACAAUGUCCUAACAAUGCAAGCAUAAAAAAAAAACAAGAAUUAUCUUUGAAACAAAGUGUGAUGUACGUAUGGAGAUGUAAAUGAGUCGAGCAACACUUUCUUCAUGCUACUAAUUCAAAAAUUUCUCCUUUUUAAUGACAAAUUGGUACGAGUCUGUUUGCACAUAUCUUGACUAUUUCGCUGUAUAUCUAAGGGACAGAUUUAUAGUUCAGAUUAUGGGGCACAUAAAUCUAUGGUCUCUUUGUCAAACUCGAUAUUUUAUGUAUGUGUUUUCUAGAAUUGGUCUUAUAUUAUCUGCUCACCUUUAUACUCCAAAAGAAUGUAUAAUGUAUUUGGUGGAAUAAUGAGUUCAAAAAUGUUAGAUAGUUCAGAAAUGGUCACUUAGAUUAAGUAUGUGUUUUCUAGAAUUGGUCUUAUAUUAUCUGCUCACCUUUAUACUCCAAAAGAAUGUAUAAUGUAUUUGGUGGAAUAAUGAGUUCAAAAAUGUUAGAUAGUUCAGAAAUGGUCACUUAGCCUUACAGAAAUAAUUACAAUUACAUAAUUCAACUCCAGCACGAUGUGCUUUCAAUUGGUUAAUAAAUUAACAAACAACUUACAAUAGUAUGAUUCGUCAAUAAAAGAGAAAACUUUUGAUAUAGUUGUUUGUAAAUUGUUAUUUUCUAACACUUAUAGUUUUCACACCCCCAUGAAAUGCAAAGGGCACUAUUAUUAUCAACCGGGAAUAGAGUAAUUAAAAGAGACACCCCCAUGAAAUGCAAAGGGCACUAAUAUUAUCAACCGGGAAUAGAGUAAUAAAAAGAACAGAACUUGAAGAAAAAAAUAGGCUGUAAUUUUGAAGACCUUGCAAAAGUUUAGCCAUAACUAUUUUUUCCUGAUGAAAGGUUACGUUCCCUCAAAAUUCAGCAAAAAUUGGACGGGGCGCCCAUUUUUAACUUGUAGUUGCUUUAUUUUUUUGUUUGUACCCGUACCCACUUUUUGAAAAACUUCAGCUUUCCUUUCUCCUUCCCUUCUUCUCUAAAAAUUUCAGCUCUAGAGCUGAUGUUUUCCAGUUACAACAAAAAAACCUUUAGCUCUAGUCUCAAUCUCUGCAAUAUAAUGCAUGUCAUAUAUUCUUCUUCUUCUUCUUCUUCUUCUUCUUCUUCUUCGAGUUUCAAUCUGAAAUUCAGUCAAAANNNNNNNNNNNNNNNNNNNNNNNNNNNNNNNNNNNNNNNNNNNNNNNNNNNNUUCAAUCUGAAAUUCAGUCAAAAUCAAGUCUAAUCUUCACCAAAAUCCCUCAAAAUUGAGAUAUAAACUCCAAAUCAUAUUCUCGAUUAUUUUCAACAGCACAAAUCCAAACAAAUAAUAAUUUUUGAAAACUCAAAUUUGAAUUCAAAACUUUCAAGUUUUUUAAUGGCUGUCAAUGGUGGAAUUGCUGCUCUCUUUUCAUCUGCUUUGUAUUACUGAAAUUUGAGAUUAAGAGAUAGAGAGAGAUGUAGAGAUACUUCUUAAAACAGAGUGAAUCACAAAAACAGAGUAUGGAAAAUCUUGUUCUGUGUUGUGGAAGAUCAGAGUGAAGCCGUAAUUAUGGAAUGUUCUUGAUCUUCUUUGUGGAAGAUCUUGAAGAAUAUUUGAUUCCCCAAUUUUAGCGCGCCCAAAUAAGGAAUCCUACAGCUACGAUGAUUACUUAUUUAAUGCAUUAGAUUCCCCAAUUUUAGCGCGCCUAAAUAAGGAAUCCUACAGCUACGAUGAUUACUUAUUUAAUGCAUUAUCUAUAUUUUGUCGGAAUACUAUUAUCAUGAAGGGUCGCAAACUAUGAACGUAUUUGGUAAUAUAGUUUCCUAUAUGGUAUAGGAACGAAAAUUUUCCAAUUGAAAAGUAGUCACAGUUUUAAAAAUAAUCCAAAUUUAGUCACUUUUCAUGUAAAGACAAAUUUGAACGAAAAUACUAAGCAGAAUCAAGAAAAUAUUCUAGAAUAAUAUACUGGUCCAGCAUAAUAUGCUGAGAGUUCAUAGACAUGUGCUCUAAUUUCUAGUAUAUUAUGCCGGAACUUUCCCUGUGGUGGAGUUCCAGCAACAUAUGCUGGAAGUUUAUACACAUAUGCACCAAUUUAUAUUAUGCUGGAAUUUUUCGUGUUUCAGCUAUGCCACACAAGUCUUAGUUCUAAACUUCUCUUGUCCCAAUAUAGUUCCAAAAUGAGAAGCUUUGGGAAUUUAGGGCAAUGGCCUCUUCUUGCUGCUGCUUUGGCAAUUUGCUUUGUAGCCAACAUUGUAUUUGCUGAUUACUCUUAUGGGUAUAUUUCUACCUCAUCUUCUUACAUUUCUUACGUUUUACAAAUCACCAUCUUCACCCAAGUAUCAUGUACCUACUCUUACUACAAGUCACCUGCUUCAGCAAUACACUACUACAAGUCAUUAGUUCCCGUAAAAUAUUACAAGCGCCAGC